AGAGCAUGUGGAACAGGAAAAACACUUGCUAGCAGCUACUGAGCUAGUUAACUACAAAAUGUUGCCUAACAUAAAAUCUUUGAGAAUGUUGCUUAACAUGCGAUUAAAAGAGGCUGUCGAUGAGCUAUUCGGGGCAGUUGAAACAACGAUAGCAGAGUACCAGCAAGAAUUAUGCCGUUCAAAAGAGGAGAAAGACCGAACGAUAGCAGAGUACAAGGAAAAAGUGUCCCGUUCGGAAGAAGAGAACGCCCGGCUACAGAGGCUGCUGGAUGUUGUUCUUAAACCAGAAAUAAGGUUACAGAGACUUGAAGACCUCCAGCAGCUCACUCUCUCCAUCUCUGAAGAGGAGGUUCCCCUUGAGCAGCAGCACUGCAAGCAGGAUUGUAGUCCCGGUCUGGGGCAGGAGGACCCUUCCCAGAUUAAAGUGGAACAGGAGGACCUAUGGGUCAUCAAUCAGGGACGAGAGCAGCUUCAAGCGAUGGAUUAUGAUACUGAUGACACGGAUGAUUCUGCUGAUACAGAAGCCUUCAUAUCUACUGCCAGAGUCAAAUGUGACUAUAAUCAGAACCCAAAUCAGUCCUCGCAUUUUUACCAAAUUUUAACCCAACUUGAAGAAAACACAGACAGGGAUGAUCUACCCAGCACCACAACGCAAAUUGAACAGAUUAAAACUGAGUUCUUUAGUGACUCUCAGCCCCCCUCUGCAGUCAAUUCAGACUCGUCUGAAACUCAGAGUGAGAGCGGUGAAAGUGUUGAUCGGAUGGAGAGUGAAGGACCUCCACUCAAGUCAAAGAGAACACAGACUAAAGCUGGACCAAGCUUCCAUGUCUGUUGUCACAUCUGAAAUCCCCUAUCUCCAGUAAUGCUGUUAGUCAUUGUAGAAUAUGUGCAAAACCUUAUCACCGUGACGUAUCUAGUGAUUCAUGCCCAUAGACAUGCACAGCUAUUUCGGUGUGGUAUCUGCGGAAGAACCUUUGAGUCUGUAGAAAGUUUUAAAGAACAUCUACAUUUCCAUGUUGCAAGUACAGGAUCACUUUCUUGUUACAUCUGUGGUAUAUGUUUCACAGAGGAUGAGGAGGUUUUGCUGGAAGAGCAAUCACAAACUGAAAUUGGAUCGCUGUCUUGUGUAAGAAACGUUUUGAAACUCGCCAGGGUCUGACAUUGCAUAUCAGGACUCUUGAAGACCGCCCCGACCUGGGCCUAUGACCUGCAGCCUGAGCCUGUCCAUAUUAUGCCUUUACAAGCAGUCUUUUUUUAUUUUGAAGUUGUAAAAACAAUGUGAACGUGAGGGAGGCGUAGCCUAUAUUGUCGUAAUCAAACUUGAUUAGAACACUACAGCAGUUUUUGCUGAAGAAAUGACUGAUAAAAUGCUCCAGUUCCAUAUCCUAGUAAAGGAGGCCCGAGUGAGGCCCAUGCGCGUCUGCUGAAGGUCUGUGUAUACUGAAAUGCAUUUUUUUUAAAUAUCAAAUAAACUAUUGAAUGGAGA